GAUGAACGCUAGCGGCAGGCUAACACAUGCAAGUCGAGGGGUAGAACACUUCGGUGUUUGAGACCGGCGCACGGGUGCGUAACGCGUAUGCAAUCUGCCUUACACUAAGGGAUAGCCCAGAGAAAUUUGGAUUAAUACCUUAUAGUAUAUUGAUGUGGCAUCACAUUAUUAUUAAAGAUUUAUUGGUGUAAGAUGAGCAUGCGUCCCAUUAGCUAGUUGGUAUGGUAACGGCAUACCAAGGCAAUGAUGGGUAGGGGUCCUGAGAGGGAGAUCCCCCACACUGGUACUGAGACACGGACCAGACUCCUACGGGAGGCAGCAGUGAGGAAUAUUGGUCAAUGGGCGCAAGCCUGAACCAGCCAUGCCGCGUGCAGGAUGAAGCAUCUAUGGUGUGUAAACUGCUUUUGUACGGGAAGAAACACUCCUUCGUGAAGGAGCUUGACGGUACCGUAAGAAUAAGGAUCGGCUAACUCCGUG
rnacentral:rRNA from 1 species